GCUGGUGUGGCACAGUUGGCAGCGCAAUUGAUUCGUAAUCAAUAGGUCAGGGGUUCAAAUCCCCUCACCAGCUCCA
rnacentral:tRNA from 1 species